GUGGGCAGAGACUAAUGAGCAAUGCCAUGACUUGCUUGCAUCUCUGUUCCUAGAACAUCCCUUCAAUCCCAGCAUCCUCCUGAGUAAGGCUGUGAGCAACGUGAUUGCCUCCCUUGUUUAUGCUCGUCGAUUUGAGUAUGAGGACCCUUUCUUCAACAGGAUGCUCAAAACAUUGAAGGAGAGCUUUGGAGAGGACACCGGCUUCAUGGCAGAGGUGCUGAACGCAAUCCCAAUUCUCCUUCAGAUUCCUGGGCUGCCUGGCAAAGUCUUCCCCAAGCUCAAUUCAUUUAUAGCCUUAGUGGAUAAGAUGUUAAUUGAGCACAAGAAAAGCUGGGAUCCUGCCCAGCCGCCCCGAGACAUGACUGAUGCCUUCCUAGCAGAGAUGCAAAAGGCCAAGGGGAAUCCUGAGAGCAGCUUCAAUGAUGAAAAUCUGCGCUUGGUGGUGAUUGACCUGUUCAUGGCGGGGAUGGUGACCACCUCAACCACACUGUCCUGGGCCCUUCUGCUCAUGAUCCUGCAUCCAGAUGUGCAGCGUGAGCCUGGCUGUGGAUGGGAGGGAGGUCAGGGGAAGAAAGGCAGAGGUAUUUGAGAAACUAGUGGUUCCUGCCUUAGCUUGACGUAGUUUCCCAUGUGUCUGGUAUGAGCCCUAUCUAUCUUACUAACCCAGUGGUAGAAGUUGAAGGAUGAGCUCCUUUCGCUGAAGAGAUGCCAUCUAUCUAGGCCGAGUCCACGAGGAGAUUGAUGAGGUCAUAGGGCAGGUGCGUCGUCCAGAGAUGGCAGACCAGGCACGAAUGCCGUUCACCAAUGCUGUCAUCCAUGAGGUGCAGCGCUUUGCAGACAUCGUCCCGACAAAUAUACCACAUAUGACAUCCCGAGA
rnacentral:lncRNA from 1 species